rnacentral:rRNA from 1 species
GACGAACGCUGGCGGCGUGCUUAACACAUGCAAGUCGAACGAAGUGGCGAACGGGUGAGUAACGCGUAAUCAACCUGCCCUUCAGAGGGGGACAACAGUUGGAAACGACUGCUACUACCGCAUACUGUAGGAGGGGAUUGCGUCUGAUUAGCUAGUUGGAGAGGUAACGGCCCACCAAGGCGAUGAUUAGUAGCCGGGCGGAUAGGAUGAACGGCCACAUUGGGACUUCGACACGGCCCAGACUCCUACGGGAGGCAGCAGUGGGGAAUCUUCCGCAAUGGACGAAAGUCUGACGGAGCAACGCCGCGUGAGUGAUGACGGCCUUCGGGUUGUAAAGCUCUGUUAAUCGGGACGCGGUACCGGAAUAGAAAGCCACGGCUAACUACGUGCCAGCAGCCGCGGUAAUAC